rnacentral:rRNA from 1 species
GAUGAACGCUGGCGGCGUGCCUAAUACAUGCCAGUCGAGCGAACGGACGAGAAGCUUGCUUUUCUGAUGUUAGCGGCGGACGGGUGAGUAACACGUGGAUAACCUACCUAUAAGACUGGGAUAACUUCGGGAAACCGGAGCUAAUACCGGAUAAUAUUUUGAACCGCAUGGUUCAAAAGUGAAAGACGGUCUUGCUGUCACUUAUAGAUGGAUCCGCGCUGCAUUAGCUAGUUGGUAAGGUAACGGCUUACCAAGGCAACGAUGCAUAGCCGACCUGAGAGGGUGAUCGGCCACACUGGAACUGAGACACGGUCCAGACUCCUACGGGAGGCAGCAGUAGGGAAUCUUCCGCAAUGGGCGAAAGCCUGACGGAGCAACGCCGCGUGAGUGAUGAAGGUCUUCGGAUCGUAAAACUCUGUUAUUGGGGAAGAACAUAUGUGUAAGUAACUGUGCACAUCUUGACGGUACCUAAUCAGAAAGCCACGGCUAACUACGUG